CUGUGGUGUUCCAAAAGGGAGCAAUUUGGAUCCGCUAUUGUUCUUCAUAUACAUCAAUGACCUCCAGAAUUGCCUCAAUUAUGCAAUGCCGAGAAUGUUUGCAGACGAUACAAGUGUUAGCUUUGCGGCCGACUCAGUUGGAUGAGCUCCAGAAUGUCUUAAACUCUGAAUUGAAAUGCCUUCAUUAUAGCUGCCAAAAUGGGCUACUUGCAUAUAAUGUAGUGUAAACGCG